rnacentral:rRNA from 1 species
UGGGGAAUAUUGGACAAUGGGCGAAAGCCUGACCCAGCAACGCCGCGUGAAGGAUGAAGUAUUUCGGUAUGUAAACUUCGAAAGAAUAGGAAGAAUAAAUGACGGUACUAUUUAUAAGCUCCGGCUAACUACGUGCCAGCAGCCGCGGUAAUACGUAGGGAGCAAGCGUUGUUCGGAUUUACUGGGCGUAAAGCGCACGUAGGCGGAUUGUUAAGUCAGAGGUGAAAUCCCGGAGCUCAACUUCGGAACUGCCUUUGAUACUGGCAAUCUAGAGUCCGGAAGAGGUUAGUGGAAUUCCCAGUGUAGAGGUGAAAUUCGUAGAUAUUAGGAAGAACACCGGUGGCGAAGGCGGCUCACUGGAUCGGUACUGACGCUGAGGUGCGAAAGCGUGGGGAGCAAACAGGAUUAGAUACCCAGGUAGUCCCUGAGCGGGCUGGCAAGGCGCAU